CUGGUGUUGUUUUACUUACCGUCAUCAUGUCAUCACAUUUCAUAUCUGGUUCAUCUUCAUCUUCACUUUUAUUGUAGAAUUUGCGGAAGAAGUUGAACGCCACAACAGUGUAAAGAUACACUACUACAGCCAGGAGUCCUACAGUCAGCACAAGCUGUAUAUGGAGACAUGACAAGAAUGGGAUGAGUGGGCUUUAUAUCCUAAAGAUGACAGCGACUGUAAAAUGGACCGAGAUGGCUGAUUGACAGCACAAGCUGACAGUCCUGCUGUUCUGCAGUGGUAAUGCUAACACAGUAUUACUUUGAACUCCAAAAUGAGCAAGUCAACAAUAAGAAGAGGGACAAGGAACUAAGAAAGAUGGAUUGCCUUGUGUCAAAAUAAACAAUGGAAACAUGAACAGACUUAAGCAGAAUUAUUAUACACUUCUGUAAAACAGCAAGAAGUCUGAGCAAGUCAGAGGGAAGCAGAGACAUUGAAUACAGGGGAGGAAAUGACUCCGCGUUGUUUCAGUGAGUGUAUGGGACUGAAACCAAGGAGUGGGGUGAAGCUCAGCAAGGCCAUGCACAGUGAAAUGAACACCGUUUGUAGUCCUCUUGUCCAAUGGAUGUUGUGAAUUAACUGGACAAGGUGACUAACUGUCACAUUCCCUCCCUCUUCCAAUCCGUCCCAGCUUUUCUCUUGCCCUCUCUAUUUGUAGCAUAGGAACCAUGCUUUUAAUGGUGCUUCAAAUGUAACAGAUUGUUAGGUUUUGACAACAAGGCGGCAGGGACUAAAUUGCCACAGUCACUAACAGAAAGGCGUAAAUGAGUUGAAAGUGAACUUGUGUAAGAAAAGAUACGUGCACAGCGAUGACUGGCAGAUAAAAGGAGUGAUAUGAAGAUGUUCAUUGGAAGAUUUUGUGUUGUACCUUUAUGUGGCCAUAACCCAUGCAGUCAACAAGAGCCAGUAUAUUAGUUUAUUCACAGCUUUCAGUGUUCGCUUGACUGUAAUUUAUAAUCAGAUACAAAGAAGCAUUACUUGGCUCUUGCAAAUACCUGUGAAAGUUUCAUCUGCAUAUUGGCAAAUACAUGAAGAAAUCCAACAACUGCAUCCCACAGCCUACUAUGAGCCAGGCUCUGUUGGUUACCAAUGCAAGGUCCCUGAAAAAAUUAAAAUAAGAAAAACACAUUUUUUACUUAUACAAAAUCAAAAUAACACUUCACCUUCCUAAGGCUUCUACCUGAAAAAAUAAAAACAAAAAACAAACAAAACAAACAAACAAUCAAAAAAAAAAAAAAGAAAAAAAAAGAAAAACAACCCCAAACAACAGAACAGCAAACAUAUUCCAGGCUUCCAUGAAACUAUACAAAAAACUUUCUUAUCAUUUCUUUGGUAUGUAGCAUGUAAAAAGAGAGAUUUUAUCAUGUCAAAUAUGAAGCCAUUAUUUUAGUAUUAACUUUACAGUGGGCCAGUGAUUCAAUGAAACUGUUAAAAAUAAGAAAAAUAAAACCAAAUAUUUACAAACUUAGAACAGAACAUGAUCAGAUCAUAUAAUCAGUGAUUAGUAUCACUGUAUGUAUGAUACACAAUCAAGUAUUAGUAUUAUCAUAGUUAGUAUCUUGGACAAAAUCUUUCAUUUACCUGUAUAUAUUCAGUAAGGGAAUUGAAUAUUUGUUUGGUGACAGCCAAAGCUUUAGAGAAGUUACGUUGUCCUGAUUCAUCAAUAACAUCUUUUCCUGAAUAGUACCAAUAGAAGUCACUGAUUGAUUCCUAAGAAAAAGCACAAUGUUACAUUUUCUAAUGUAGGAUUUUGAAAGCAGUAUUUACUGCCUGCAUGCGUAUCACCAGAAGUUGAAUCAGUUGACGUCCAGUUAAUCUAUUUCUCAUGACAAUAGCUUUUUAUGUUUUCCUAUAACCAUGCUGUCUACAGAAGUAAUCAAUGAAAUUAACCAACAUUCAGUUCCAUGAAGAAUUCUGAAAAGUCAUCUAUCCUAAAAAGAAAGACAAAAUGAAUUACAUCCUAAUUCUUUUUAAUUUUUAUUAUUAUUAUUUUUUAAUAUCCUUGGCAGAAGAGAGGAACCUCAUCUUUGGUUUCAUCAAAAUGUGAACUUAUGAAAAUGAAGGAAAGAAAAUUAUGUUACAUCCCAUUUUCUUCUGAUUUUUUCCUCACCUGAAGACGCAAGAGGUAGUCGACCGUACUAAUGAUAAUAUUCACCGUUGUGGUGUUGCCCAUCUGAGUACGUAGGUAAUUUUGAAAAUCUGAAAUAAAUAAGGGAUUUGAGCUUAGUUAGUAUGGACAAGAAAGAAAAAUACAAGAUUGCUUUUGUAUAUUCCUGGGGAAGAAACUCUUCUUCAGUACCUUGCUAGGUAUAGAUGUUCAUUAUCUGUGCUGGAUAUUGAACUACAAUAUGUCACAAUGCAAACAUAACUGAAGAGCUGUUAACCAUAUGUCUUUGCAAGAAAUUUUGGUAUUAAUGAUCUGCAUAAAAUCUGAAAUUACAUUAAGACUUAAAAAUUCAAAUUAACAUCCACAGUUAACAUUUUUGGUGUGUCACUUUCCCUCAGAAUACUAAAUCAGAGAAAAAAAAAAUCUUAGAAUGAGUUAUAGUGAGCUAUGUUUAAGAAUAGGUUUAUCAUUUGCACUCAUCAUUUUUCCCUGAAAUUAACACAUUUUGCUUACCAUUGUUAUGCCCUUCACAGAGUAGUUGUAAAAAUCUAAAUAGAUCUCGAGUAAAUUCAUCAUGCUGCAACACUUUUUCACCUUUAAAAUAUAUAGAUACAAUGAUUACAUGACAGCUUCUAUUAUUAAAUAUGCAGAGCACAAUCUUAUAGCAUCCUUCAGAACUGAAGAUUCUCUCUAAAAAUACAGUACUAUAAAUGCUGCUUUAAGGCAAUUUAAAGAAAAAGGCUGAUAAUAAUGAAAAGAAAAAUGGGGUCCAAAAGCCAAGCCAAAGCAUUUAGCACUCCAAUACAUCCGUGGUUAAAAAAAAAAAAACAACAAUAAAAAAGAACAGCAAAAAAAGACAAACAAACUACACAUUAUAUAUCUAAUAAGCAAAUGGUUAGUUAUGAAUAAAAUUGUGUCUUAAAUAUGAAUGACAUUUCAUUAAUAAGCAUCAAACUUUUUCCAAGCUGGACACACAACUUGCUGCAGACCAUAACACUAAACCUAAAGAUAUCUGAGAAGAUGCAGUUAGAGAUUUCUUUCUGUAUUUGCAACAGACUUUCAGAACAAUAGUAUUGAAAACUGUACCCAAACAUACCACGCUCACGUACGAUGACUGUGGAUUGAAGAAAAAUAAUAAAAAUACAAGAUGAGAAUAUUGGAAGUGACAUUUUUUUCAUCAAAAUUAUUGCUAAAUACUUCAUAAAUGUAAAAAAUAUUCAGUUUAACAACCUACAGUUAUUUAUAUUCAGUUUAACAACAGAAACCUCAAGCCAAGUUUAACAAGUUCUAUUUAAAGAAGGAAGCUCAAAUGUUUUAAGUGUUAUUGGAAUCAGUUUCAUUCUACUUACGAGUUCCUUCUUCAGUAACCAUUCCCAGGCCUUCUGCUUUAUUUUGUCUCUCAAAUGCAUUCAAGUCAAGAACACUUAUGUAAAAAAAAUAAACAAUAAUAAUAAUAAAAGUACUGCAGUAAACAGUGGAAAAUUAUCUUCUAGGAAAUUUCUGGAAGCCUUCAAUAACUGCUCUUCAAUAACUAACUUGACCUGCUGUGACAUACACUGCCUCACAUUUUACUUAAUAUAAGUAUUAAAUAAAAGUGCUUGGGAUGAAAAUAAGGCUCCAGUGUCCAUUUCUGUGAAGUACUCAUCUAACUUCUCUUCCAGUAACAUUUUUCGUGGUUUCAUGUAUAAAUAAGAAGAAACCUGAAAUUACUCUCUAUAUUGACUUAAACCUGUCUGCCAAGAGAAGACAAUUACAUUCAAUUACAUUGUUUUCCACUGAAUUUCACUAGUACUACACUGUUGCUCUAUAUCUCAUGCAUUAUUAUAUUAUUUUAAAGACAUAAGUAGAAUCUUUGGAGCUAUUACAUUUUGCUUUUCUGUCUCUCCAAACUAACGCUUCAAAUGCUGUGCUUUAUUUUCUCAGUUGGAAAAGUAUUUCAAGAUGUUAACACAGCAUUCCUCUGAUUCACAAAUAUUUUCACUAAAGAAGCAGAGUUCUAGAGUCUGGACUUGUGUAAUUUAAAUCUAAAAAAAACACCUGCACUGAGCCAUCAGUCUCAAUAAAAGUGAAACUACAAUAAUAUGAUUUACGCUUUUACCUGCAGGACUGCAUCAAACCAGAAAGACUUUGAAAGAAUCCAGCAUCCUUUUUCUCCUUCAAGUAGUCUAGCAUUUUCUAGAGUACACACAUUUGGGGAAAAAAAGUCUAUAUUAAAGUUAUGUAAAUUAAAAAUGCCCUAAAUUACCAUUCAAAACACAGAUCACUAGUAAGGAAUGAUAUCACUGUUAUUGGACCAGAAAUACUCUAAUAUAUUUUCAUUGUUUAGCCUAAAAUUAAAUUAACAACAAUAAAAAUAGAACUAAAAUUCUCCAAUUAGUUGUUUCCUUUAUACGAGGAAGACUCAAUAGUUAGAAAAGCAUUACCUGUUGAACUAUUGUAUUCCCACCAUUUAGAAUAGCAAUACCAAGUUUUAGUGUUUCAACAACCAUGGGUCCUGUAUGACCUGUCAAAACAAGGGUGCUGUCAAUAAAAUUUGCAAUUAUAAACUUAUCAAUCAGAAAAGCAGUUCAGAGAUUUUACCUAACAUAGUUGCAAUUCACAUUUAUUUUGCUGCAUAAUGUGUCAUGUACAAAUCAGAGAUGACAUAAAUAUCAUAUAGAUAAAAAGUUGUAUAUGAUAUAUAUAAGGUAUUACGCAUAUGUGUGAAUAUAUAUGUAUUCAUAUAUAUAUAUAUAUGAAUAUACAUACGAAUAUAUAUAGAAUAUAUAUAUAUGUGAAUAUCUAUCUAUCUAUCUAUAUAUAUAUAGCAUUAUACAAGAUAAGUUUACAAUGUGUAUUUCAGUUCUCCUCUCAACAUUACCUUUGCUUGCACUGAUCAUCUGAAGGACCAUCUCAGCAGCUCCACGGUCAUGUAAGCGAGCUUGCUGAUAAAGAGUUCUCUGCUUUUCCAUUUCUUUCUCCUAAGUUUGGGGAAAAAAAAAAAAAAAAAGAUAACUGAUGCAAACAGCAUAUACAGGUGAAAAACCUGAAGAUGAUGAAGGCUCUCUGCCUUCACAUUGCCUUUCUUCUACAUGAACAACCUAGUAAAGCUACUCAGUAUACACUGUUAUCCUUUCAUUUAUUCCAGUGCUUAUAUUUAAAAUGCUGUCUUCCACUUCAGACAAUCAGAAAGAAAUAAGAUUUAAACUCUCACCUCAAAUGUCUUCUCUUUGUCUUCCUCCUCCUCCUCUUCUUCUUCCUGACAGCUCUUUUAAUAUUAGAAACAAAAAUCACAAAAUUUUGCUUAGUAUGAAACAGGAUGCCUAUUUCUACAACAGUAUUUGUAUUAUAAAAAGAAAAACAUUACAAGAUUUUUUUUUGAAGCAAUAACUAAAUCCAGUUAGAAGAUUUUAGAUCCCUGUAAUCCUUACAUUUUUGUGUCCAUACAUACUAAGAAGCUGAUAUUCCCUUAUACAUGAAUCCUUCCAACUAUAUAUUUAACUUGUAACUGUAGGUUGUCUGUUCUCAUGUCAUCUCUCUAUUUAAAUCCAUAUUAUUUAUCUUCUUAGUCAAACUCUCCUGACAUUAAAGUAUCAGCUGUAAUCAGUAUUUUGCAAACACUGACUGUCAACUUCCUUUUGACAGAAUGCAAAUUCCAAAAUAAUUUCUGUAAGGAUCAUGGAUCAACUAAUACCGUUCAUCUUGUUCUCAAGUUAGUCCUGUGCCAAGUGAUAUAAGCAGGAUUGCACAUACUGGAAUUUUAUAAUAUGAUAUUAAAGUAGGAAAUUCUGUAUUACAUAUAUAACUCGUAACAUCUUUUUUUUUUUUUUUUUUUCUCAUUAAAAAUGUAGAAAUUACUACUAUACAACAGUCCACAUAAGAGACAAGGAAAAUGUUUAAAAAGCUUUAGGAACUACUUGAGUGAAGCGAUGGAUGGAGCUUGAAAUUAUAGUUACCUUUGCCAUCAUGGCAGCAUAGGCGAUAUAUAAGGGAUCAUCUUCCAGUUUGCUAUAAAGAAAAAAUAUUUAAAAAUAAGUAAUGACUUUGUAAUAAAAAGAUAAUACUCCUGAUAAUAUGUAAAUACUAUUUUGAUCAAUGGAAACGUACAUAUAUCUAUGUGAAAUCCCAUUAUUAUUCUACUGUAAAAUUCUGUUGUAUCUACAAGGGCUGCUCAUAGUACCAAACAAAACAAAAUAAACAAAAACAAACAAUCAAAAAAUCAAACAAAAGAAAGUAUUCACCAUAGACAAUACUAAAUUGCAGUUAUGUUAGAUCACUUAUAAUUCAGUUUCUGGGUAUUUUUACUCAAUUCACUUUUCAGCAUGGCUCUUUCUUACCUCCUCUCUGUGAGAGCAUUGCGACUAAAAUAGAGGAUAAUCUGAUGAAGUGGGUCAGGUUGUUCUUUCUCUGUAUCUUCCUCUUCUUCUUCCUCUUUUUUUGGAGAUGUCUGUGUUCAACAGAUUGAUAUCAGAAUAUACAAAUUAAGCUUCAUGAUUAAGAAAAAAUAUGAGCCAAUAAACUUAGGAAAGGAUUUCAGUAAUUUUGUUUUGUCUAAUUUGUAUUAACUUCCAGUGGUUACCUUAUUCAGCAGCUUACCAGAGCUUGCAACACCAUUUGCCUGUUUAACUAGGAAGGAAUUACCAAGUCGGACACAUUUGCUUGCAUUUGAUAAUACCAUUAGAAGUUUCUCAUUUGCAAGGCAUUGAGAAUAAGCUAAGAGAAAAUCUUAGGGAAGCCUUAUUCAGCAGAAAUUGUGUGCAUGUUUCCACUGGACCAGAACUGAAAGGAAGUCCAGCUUAAGCAGAAUCAAUUGAUAAAUUGAACUACUUUUAACAACAUCAUCAGAAGCAUCUUAUUCAGGCUGGUGUUUACUUUCAUGUGUCUGUUCCAGGUGACUUUGAUACAAGAAUAGAAGAACUACUCUUACUGUCAACUUUAAACAUUUUUGUCAGUUUGAAAUAAAAGAUAGUUACACUGACAAAAGAGCAGUGUAUCACCUUCACCUUACUUGUGUUGUGACCCUUUAGUAGGGUUUAAUUACUGUAAAAUUACUGUAAUUAUGUUAAUAAAUGUUUAAUUUACUAGUAAAACUGAAAGAACUGUAAUUGCAGCUUUGACUAAUGGUCUCAUUCUGUCCUUCAGCAGAAAGCAGCAAGAAAAUGCAGGAAAAACUAGGACCAUUCAAUUGUUCAGAGUAUAGGAAGAAUAUAAUAGCUGUAGUAUGCAACAUUCUAUACCAAUUGGUCUUAAAACCCACAAUAUUAACUGUUUUGCUAACAUUGAAGCAUCUCCUGAUGCAUCUUCAUGUGAUCCAUGGAGCCAUAUGUUCAUAGGUAUGGUGUUUAGGUAACACCAGGGCCCUUUGAUAGUAGUUUAGGCAAACUGAUUACAGAAGGGGAAAAGAAAGAAAAAAAAUUUUUUUUUUCAGAAUCAAUGUUAAAGAACAAAAUGCUCAAGUUUACCAAGCGCUUCCAUCAAGUACACACGUAAACCAAAAUUUUGCUGAAUAUGGCUGCAUGUAUUUUCAUCUCUUUAUGAUGUACCAACAAGAAAACAACAAAAACAAAAUUGUAUCAAAGCUGAAAAUGUUAAAUAUUAUGCGUCAAUGAAAAUUGAAAAGGGGAAAAGCAUCAACUGUGUCAAGCUUUAAAAAAAAAAGUAAAUAAAAUAUAGGAACAUAGGAAUUACUAUAAUCACAAAUAUAGUUUGAUGGUUGAUCUAAACCAUUUCUGUUCCCAAGAAUAAGUAUCACAUAAUUCAACUGAAGGCAUAGAACACCUUGAUGCAUCUCAGUGUGCACCACAGGAUGGAUGUCUUUUUGACCAUAGCAGAAAAUGACUUUAUGCUCUGAAGCAUAAGAAUUCAUAUUUUAUAAAUUUAUGCAUAUGUAUACAGUAUAUUAAAAUAGGUCAUCAUAUAUUAAAAUAUAGGUCAUAAUAGAUACAUAAAAUGUACACUAAAAUGGGCACUGAAAAAUAUGCCCAAUUAUGUUAGUACUUACAGCCAAAUCCUGAACUAGUUUCUCCUCAAAUGAAUAUUCCUCUGUUUCUAUCCAAUAGUUCUGAUAGCCAUGGAGGAAGAGGUUAAUAGAACGGUGCCUGGGGGGUUGUGAAAGUGAGAUCAAGAGGGGUAAAGGAACAUAGUAUAACAGCUCAGAUGGUUAAUGAUUAGUAAGGAUAAGUGUUUGUACAAUUCUGAUCCUCUGAUUGGUCAGUGAAACCAAACACAAAACAUAACUAACUUUCAAUGACAAAUCUGCAUAUAUUUUUGAACUUUUUUUUUUUAAAUACACACACACGCACACACACAGCUUUUUCUUCAGAAGGCUUCAAGAGUGCUAAUAGACGUUAUGAGAGAAGUUGUGUGACUGGUGACUUAAUUCAAGCAUGGAAAAAAUACAUAUAUUAAAAAAUACAUAAUAAGAGGGUAACAGAUAUACCUACUAAAUGUAAAUUUAGUUUACUAGAGUUAGCAUACUGAGAUGGUAGAUGCUGGCCAUGAAGAACAAAAUAAUUAUGAACUGCUUUCCAGCAUGCUAUAUGUGAACAACCAUGGCCUAACAACCUUCUUUUUUUUUUCAUUUAUAAAUGAGUUAGAAAUGCAUAAAAGCUCUAGAGAAGAACAAUUUUGGAAAACUCUUAGGUGUAUCGAUUGAUAUUACACAGUAUUAACUAAUUCAACUGGAAAUUUUUCUACCCAAAAUGCAACUCAUUGUAAUACGACUACACAUAAUAUUGGCCAAAUUAUUCCAUCUUUGUAUAGUAUUUAAGGGAAAAAAAUAUUUUGAGGUGCUCUAUGUGACAUUCUGAAGGUUGUUCCACACAGCCUUUUCAUUUUAUCUUGCACGAGUAACUACAUAAACUGACUGUAUUAUAUUAUGGAUUACCUCGAGACAUUAUGCACGUGAAUUCUUAUUCUAUAAUGACACUGGUAUGUAGUCAACUCUGUGCUCUCCUGCUGCCACGGGUGCCUUUUAUCAGUUUUCAAAAACUGACCAAUCAGAAUCUACUCUGAAAAUUGUACAAAUUCAUGUUUUAUGACAACAAUAAAUUAUGGCUGGGAAGGAAUAAGUGUGUGCAUAAGGAAGAGGCUCUCCACAAGUUACAUUACCGUUAACUUGAGUAUAAGCCUGUCAUACUGAGUUUUUUCAUGUACUUUUUCCAGCCAAACACGUUGAAAGGUGCUCAGGAAGAAAUUGCUAAUUUUGUGUCUGAAGAAAAGCAUAUAGGUUUUCAAUGAAGAACUAACAACAAAAGUACAAGUUAAAUUCAAUAAAAUAGUCAGAAAGAAUGUAUUUGUUAACUCUGUAUGAAAUGUUGCCACUAACUUUGCUUAUGUGCAUCUAACAGAUGACAGACAAUAUGACAAAUCAUACAAACUUUCUUAUGAUAGUGAACAUAAAUACAAGUAUCUUAGAGAAUGCAUUUAUCAUGAGGUACUUUUUCCAAAGUCAUUCAUUAAACAGAGAACAGAAGAAUCAGCAUUUCCAGACUUCACUGAUGUUUUUUCCUUGAAAAAUAAAAUUGUUUUAAAAUACAACUAGUAUUUCUUUUGUAUCUUGAGGUAAUUCUCAGAAAAUGGAGUAUUUGGAGUAAUUAUGAAAGAAUUUAGAAUAAUUUUUCUGUGAUACAAACACCUGCACUUGAAUGGAUGUUUCAAUUGCUGAAACUUCCUAUUGGAAUUCCUAAAAAACGAUACAUAUAAGAACAUAUAUUGAAUAAAAUUAGUUUUAAAUACACUAACAUUAAAUUUUUUGAAAACCACCUAAAUCUCUAGAAAAUUAUCAAAAGAAAUCAUUAUUCAUUGAAGACAUGAACAUUUUCUAGGCAAAAUUCAUAACGAGUUUGCUUACUGCCCUUUAAAUAUAUAAUCACAUUUAGAACUAACACCCCCAAUUAUAGAGAUAAAACUAGACUGAGGAAAUAUACAAGAGAACUUCAUUUGACAUUAUGGUGCAAAGGGAUAUACAUAGCUCUUAGAAUUCAUCACACUUCACUUGAAAAUAAGUCCCUAGGGUUCAAAGAUGUCUUAGCAACUUUAUCAAUUUAAAUGACAGAGGUAGUUAUAUCUGCAAUUAGGUAUAAAAUAGUGUGAUAGCCUUAUUUUCCUGUCAGAAUCCUAUGAUUUAUCUAGAAAAACAUGUCUAUAAAACUAAUGAAGUUUAAAACUUUCUUCUACCUCUAUCGAGGAUUUCUCUUGCUCUUGCCUUUUUUGAAAUACAUAUACCAAAAUAAAUUGGUAAAAAUAGUUUUAUCCGAGUUUAUUUUUAGAAUCUGAAGGAAGAAAUAACUGGACAGAUUUGCUUCACAUUCAUACUAAAAUGAAGUGUAAGCUCUACCACGAGAUAGAUGUACCACAAAGCUUGAGAAGAACCAACCCCACUUUUUAGGUUCAUAACCCAUUUGAGUUCUUGGCACAUUUUCCAUCAACUUUAAGAAUCCUAAAUAUAUAUCUUUAAGACAAAAAUAAGAUGGACUGUUUUUAUCACUUGGGUGCUCAUAUAUAUUCAACACACUUUAAGAAUUAUAAAGACAGAAUAUUGAUAUAAAAAAUGCUCACAAAGAUGUUAUACUGAAAUAUUUACCAUUUCCUCUUGUUUUUCCAAAGACAACUUGUAAAAGUAAUAUAGUCAGUACUUCAAACCUAAUUGGUUUGGUUUCAUGUUGUCUUUAAACCUUUUCAUUUUUCUCUGUCUCUAUAAGGACUGCCUGGUAGCAAUGGGAAAGUUUAGAGAAGCUGCUAUAAUCUAGAACUGCUAGUUUUCAUAAUUGCUUCACUUUCACAGUAGAAUUUUUUGUCUUGCACAAACCUAGCAUUGUUCCUAGUACAUUAGUGGCAAAGCUACAGAUCUUUAGCUAACAUUAAGCAUGUAAAUAAAUCACUGCACAAAAAUAUUUAACUCAAAAGGUGAAAGAGCACAAAAGAAGUUAAGAAGCAAAUCUAAUUAGUGAUGUUCUUAGGCUGUAUCUGAAUAUAAAGCAGAUGUAUUGGAAAGGAACAGGGUAAAGGAAAGGACACCAAGCUGCACAGUAUUAAUACUUGGUUUAAAGCAGUAGAAGGGCAUAGGCAUGGGAUGCACUUUCUCUCAGACUUAGUGGUAUCUACAUUCAACUGAAGUAAUAAGCCGAGCAAAACACAUGUCCAAAAUCUCACUCUGCACUGUUCUGCCCCAGUACCUGCUUUAAUGCAACAUUCUGACAUAAUAUCUACAGAUUGCCUCAUAGAAGCAUAGAGCAUUCAUGCAAUAGAAAAGCCAUACCAAAAAAAAAAAAAAAAAAAAGUUUUUUUUUUUUU